GACGAACGCUGGCGGCGUGCUUAACACAUGCAAGUCGAACGGAAAGGCCCUGCUUUUGUGGGGUGCUCGAGUGGCGAACGGGUGAGUAACACGUGAGUAACCUGCCCUUGACUUUGGGAUAACUUCAGGAAACUUGGGCUAAUACCGGAUAGGAGCUCCUGCUGCAUGGUGGGGGUUGGUAAGUUUCGGCGGUUGGGGAUGGACUCGCGGCUUAUCAGCUUGUUGGUGGGGUAGUGGCUUACCAAGGCUUUGACGGGUAGCCGGCCUGAGAGGGUGACCGGCCACAUUGGGACUGAGAUACGGCCCAGACUCCUACGGGAGGCAGCAGUGGGGAAUAUUGCACAAUGGGCGGAAGCCUGAUGCAGCAACGCCGCGUGCGGGAUGACGGCCUUCGGGUUGUAAACCGAAUUAGCCGGUGACGAAGCGUGAGUGACGGUAAUGGGUAAAGAAGCACCGGCUAACUACGUG
rnacentral:rRNA from 1 species